CCUACGGGAGGCAGCAGUGGGGGAUAUUGCACAAUGGGGGGAACCCUGAUGCAGCGACGCCGCGUGGGUGAAGGAGUGCUUCGGCAUGUAAAGCCCUAUCGGCAGGGAAGAAGCAAGACGGUACCUGACUAAGAAGCCCCGGCUAACUACGUGCCAGCAGCCGCGGUAAUACGUAGGGGGCGAGCGUUAUCCGGAUUCACUGGGUGUAAAGGGAGCGUAGACGGCCAUGCAAGCCAGGGGUGAAAGCCCGGGGCCCAACCCCGGGACUGCCCUUGGAACGGUGCGGAUAGAGUGCGGGAGGGGCAGGCGGAAUUCCUGGUGUAGCGGUGAAAUGCGUAGAUAUCAGGAGGAACACCGGCGGCGAAGGCGGCCUGCUGGACUGCGACUGACGUUGAGGCUCGAAAGCGUGGGGAGCGAACAGGAUUAGAUACCAUGGUAGUC
rnacentral:rRNA from 1 species